AAGUCCUGACAGUGGGCUCUUGGUGGCAGGGUGACUCUCUUGGCCCUGCCCAGGCUGGAACCCAGGCCAGGUACCUGCACUCAGGUCCAGACACAGAGAGGCCAGGCCCAGGGCAGCCAGAAGAGGCCCAAAUAUGCCAGGGCUGCAACAUCGCGUCCCCAGAUCUGACAAAUGCCAAGGACUUUGCCUACGCUGGAUGUGUAGCUGAAGACUGUCCCAGGCUGCUCAGAGGGGCGGAAGCAAACUCGCUGCAUCUCCAGAAGCCCCUCAGAGGUCAGGUUUAAGAUGGCUUCUGUUGGAACAAAGGAUCUAGAAGAAAAAAAUGGGAGUCCUAGAGAAAAUCUACAGCCUCUCCUGAAAAUACGAGUCCAACUUUAAGCAUAGAGGCAAG
ensembl:lincRNA